rnacentral:lncRNA from 10 species
UGCACCCAGGAGGCGGAGGUUGCAGUGAGCCGAGAUCGCACCAUUGCACUCCAGCCUGGGCAACAGAGUGAGUCUCUGUCUCUAAAAAAAAAAAAAAAACAAAAACCUUCCAGGGGUAUAUGGUAUAAAGUUUGUCUCCCGCAUACUCUGGGCAACAGGCCAUCCAAUUCCCCUUCCCAGUGACAACUAUUGUCCCUCAACAAGUUCUCAAGGGCCAUAUGGAUUUCCUUUUGACCUGCCAAACAGAUCGGGAGUGCCUGUGGGGCAGGGUUGAUCUUGUCCGUUCCCCGCAGGCUCUCUGCGGACACUAAGGAAGGGUGUGAUGCUUGGGCAGAUUGCAGCCAUGUGAGGACAGGGGCUGGUAAGAGGGAAUAUGAGAGCUGUAAGGAGGGCUCCAGCCUCACACUCGACUUUGUGAACCCCUCCCUGGCUGAAGAAAGGACAGCAGCACUACCGACAAGCUAUCAACCACCAGCUUCUUGGAGGGUUCAAGGGUGGGAAUGGGAAUUUGUUCCUGGCCAGUGCCUUCUCCAUAAAAUCAGUCAUUGCUGUUUUUGUAUUAAAAUUUUUUUCUUUUUUUCUUUUUCUUUUUUUUGAGACAGAGUCUCACUCUGUUGCCCAGGCUGGAAUGCAGUGGCACGAUCUUGGCUCACUGCAACCUCCACCUCCUGGGUUCAAGCAAGUCUCCUGCCUCAGCCUCCCGAAUGGCUGGGACUAUAGGCGCCCACCACCACGCCCGGCUAAUUUUUGUAUUUUUAGUAGAGACGGGUUUCGCCAUGUUGACCAGGCUGGUCUUGAACUUCUGACCUCAGGUGAUCUGCCCACCUCAGCCUCCCAACGUGCUGGGAUUAUAGGCGUGAGCCACCGUGCCCGGCCUUAUUUAAAUCAAGCCCCUGCCUUCUCUGUUAGAGAAUAUCGUGACUGUGAUCAAGUAUCAAGUACUUGAGCCCCUUCUCCUUUUUUCUCUUUCCUUGUUGAUGGCACCAGCUCUCUGCUGGAGAAUAUCUUUUAGCGUUAAACACAAACAAAGAAACUAAGAACAACAACAACAUCAAAAAGUGCAAGGCUGGAGUGCAGUGGUGCGAGCCUGGCUCAGCCCAUGGGGAUGGUGGUGAGCUCCUCCAUUUAUUUAUUUAUCUGGAGUCUCACUCUGCCACCAAGGCUGGAGUGCAGCAGUGCAAUCACAGCUCACUGCAGCGUCAAAUUCCUGGGUUCAAGUGAUGCUCACACCUCAGCCUCCCAAGUAGGUGGGACUACAGGCACACCCCACCAUGCCCAGCUAAUUUGUAAAAACUUUUCUGUAGAGAUGGGGGAUGGUCUCAUAAUGUUGCCCAGGCUGGUCUUGAACUCCUGGCCUCAAAUGAUUCUCCUGCCUCAGCCUCCCAAAGUGCUGGAAUUACAGGCAUGAACCACUGUGCUCUGCUGGAUAAUGACCUUUCUCGAGCAAUUACUAUGUGCUCUGCUGUAUCGGGUACCAUCUAGUUUGAUCAUAUAUUAGACAUGCAAGAUAAGCUUUAUCCGCUCCCUCCCCC